UACGAAGGGGGCUAGCGUUGCUCGGAAUCACUGGGCGUAAAGGGUGCGUAGGCGGGUCGUUAAGUCAGGGGUGAAAUCCUGGAGCUCAACUCCAGAACUGCCUUUGAUACUGCAGAUCUUGAGUUCGGGAGAGGUGAGUGGAACUGCGAGUGUAGAGGUGAAAUUCGUAGAUAUUAGCAAGAACACCAGUGGCGAAGGCGGCUCACUGGCCCGAUACUGACGCUGAGGCACGAAAGCGUGGGGAGCAAACAGG
rnacentral:rRNA from 1 species